CUUUGGUCCUCUCUUCUUAGCCAGCAGCUCUGGGUGGAUGUUGGGCAAGACUCCACCUGCUGCGAUGGUCACACCUUUCAGCAACUGAGGCAGGAAACCAAAGGUUAAAAACUGGAGUUUACAUUCGAUGGGAAGCAGCUGACCUGGUUCAACUCCUCGUCGUUGGCGAUGGCCAGCAGGAUGUGUCGUGGUGUGACGCGACCCUUCUUGUUGUCUCUGGCUGCAUUACCUGCCAACUCCAAGAUCUCAGCUACAUGGGUGAUAAAAAAGCAUCAUCAUUACAUAUUGUAGAGGACAAGUGCUUUGGAAAAUCAGUUAAUGCGUGAAUUGCAUAGAUAAAAGAGUAGGUGAUCACAACUUAAAGAGCUUCUUCGUCACAAACCGUCUUCAGGUUGAAGCUGAUGUUAGAAAUGUUGAGGGAAAAGUUCCUCAUUUAUAGCAGGAGCCUGUUUUGGUUGCAUUACUUUCUGCCUGAGUUCUAACUACAUAUUAUAUUUGUGUUCAAAUUAAACUUGAAAAAAGCUUAAAUUGCCCUAAAAUGGUAGAAAUCUAUAUUAUUUUUUACUACAAAUACCAUAAAGAAACCCACACUUUUAAAUCAAUCAACAUCCACAGGAACAAGCUGCUCAGCGGCCAACAAUACAAGACUGCGUAUCAGUUGUUGUUGUAGUUUACGGCCUAAACAAACAUCUGUAAUAAGUAGAGAAAUUGUCGUCUGUAAUGAAAUAUGCAUAUUUUAUAAUCUCACCUGUAAGAUACUCGAGGACAGCCGCCAGGUAGACAGGCGCUCCCACCCCAAUGCGAUAUUUUGGCAGACCCCUCUUGAUGUAUCUCAGCAUGCGUCCUACAGGGAAGAUGACCCCGGCCUUGGUCGACCGCGACGUCUUGGUCAUCUUCUUCUUUCCUCCUCGGCUGGACAUGGUGUUGAGACCGGUACCACCGUCGGGCU